rnacentral:lncRNA from 1 species
CGGAAAAUGGCCAAAAACGGGUGGGCUAUAGCCUUGGUGGGGGGCGUGGGCGAAGUUCGUCCGCCGGACUCGGAAUGGCCCCAGACUUUGCGGGCGGCCUCCGUGUGCCAAAAAUAGGCCACGGGAACACCCGCGCCCAAAAUUCAGCCCCCGAAGGUCGGGGCGCCAAGACCCCCCAGCGGAAAAAUGGCCAAAAAACGGGUGGGCUAUAGCCUUGGUGGGGGGCGUGGGCGAAGUUCGUCCGCCGGACUCGGAAUGGCCCCAGACUUUGCGGGCGGCCUCCGUGUGCCAAAAAUAGGCCACGGGCACACCCGCGCCCAAAAAUCAGCCCCCGAAGGUCGGGGAGCCAAGACCCCCCAGCGGAAAAAUGGCCAAAAAACGGGUGGGCUAUAGCCUUGGUGGGGGGCGUGGGCGAAGUUCGUCCGCCGGACUCGGAAUGGCGCCAGACUUUGCGGGCGGCCUCCGUGUGCAAAAAAUAGGCCACGGGCGCACCCGCGCCCAAAAAUCAGCCCCCGAAGGUCGGGGCGCCAAGACCCCCCAGCGGAAAAAUGGCCAAAAAACGGGUGGGCUAUAGCCUUGGUGGGGGGCGUGGGCGAAGCUCGUCCGCCGGACUCGGAAUGGCCCCAGACUUUGCGGGCGGCCUCCGUGUGCCAAAAAUAGGCCACGGGCACACCCGCGCCCAAAAAUCAGCCCCCGAAGGUCGGGGCACCAAGACCCCCCAGCGGAAAAAUGGCCAAAAAACGGGUGGGCUAUAGCCUUGGUGGGGGGCGUGGGCGAAGUUCGUCCGCCGGACUCGGAAUGGCCCCA